UGGAGCGUAGAGAGCUCACAGUCUAUUUAAAGGGAUGCCACCCACUUCCUGUACUUAUGUAAGUGAGAUCAGCAUCAGAGGCUAGAUGCCUCAAGGGAAUCAGCAAUGAAUGGGCAAGGACACGGAUUUUGGAGGCUGAGUGGAAUCUGAGGCAAACUCUCUCUUACCAGAAUUUGGAGGUGGGGCAUUUUUCCAGGCCCUUCAAUGCAGUCCAGUGAGAUUCCCAUACCUGACUCCAUACUCAAUACCAGGCAUGGGGUUGUGUCAGCGAGACAAGGCAUGCAGAGCAUGUGCUGGGGCUCCUGGAUCUCAGGGGUGUGGGAGAUGCUGCUGAGGCAGUGGACACAUUGCCAUGGCAACCUCCUCUAACAUGUACGUGGCUGGAGGUGCCGCCUGACUGUCUGCCAACUAGCCAUUGAUUUUGUCUAUUAUGGUUUUUCAAGUGAAUCACCAUGAGACAAAGCAAACAGAAAAGUGUACAUCUGCUAAAGAAUCUUAUUAAACUGUUC
rnacentral:lncRNA from 1 species